rnacentral:rRNA from 1 species
AACGAACGCUGGCGGCGUGGAUUAGGCAUGCAAGUCGAACGGACACUUAGCUUUUUCGAGUGUUAGUGGCGAAAGGGUGAGUAACACGUGGGAACCUGCCUCGAAGUUCGGAAUAACCGCGGGAAACUGCGGCUAAUACCGGAUGUGGCCUGAGGGUCAAAGGCGCAAGUCGCUUCGAGAGGGGCCCGCGUCCGAUUAGCUAGUUGGUGGGGUAACGGCCUACCAAGGCGACGAUCGGUAGCUGGUCGAGAGGAUGAUCAGCCACACUGGGACUGAGACACGGCCCAGACUCCUACGGGAGGCAGCAGUGGGGAAUAUUGGACAAUGGGGGAAACCCUGAUCCAGCAAUGCCGCGUGGGUGAUGAAGGCC